AGUGUAUAAUCUAUGGCGCAUGCGUCAGCCGUCAACUAUAAUGCCUAAACUUUCUACGCGGUUUUAAUCGUGAAAAAAAAACAAUUAUAAAUCCUGAAGGAUCGAUUAAUUGGUAUACAGUUUAAUUAAAAAAAUUAAAAAAUAAAUAAAUAAAAUAAUGUGCAUUCGCGUAAAGUUAGACCAAAUACAUUUUUUCCAUCCUCCUAUAUACCUAUCGCUAUGAAGGUAUAAAAAAGAUAGGUUAAGAGUUCACAUAGGUAAUAUAAACAAAUAAGUAAAUAUGUUCAUUAUUUAUCUUUCAAGAGAUAAUGUAGGUAUACAUUAUAAUAACAUUUUGACACAGUCGAAAUUAUAUUCCUAACAUUAGUAAUAUAACAUUUUAAUAUUUUUUUUAUAGGUUAUGUAUUGAAAUUGUUGGAAAAUUAUUUCAUGUUUUAGCUGGAAAACUACAUGGAGAAUUAUAUGCAAUACAAGAUAAUGAGCUCCAUUAAAUGAAUUCGAAUGAAACCAAACUGUUUACCAUCCAAAUUCGAUUGUCGGGCAGAUAGAAAACGAAAAUUCACUCAUAGUGAACCUCGGCCUGCAUUUGUGAAACGGCAAAGACUCACUAUUAUCAAGGAAAUUGAAGAGACGACUAAAAAUGAGAUGUGUCGUAUUAUUAUACCUUUGCCAUCUUGUAGUCAAGAUGUCCAGCCACUUGAAAAUAGGUGUAGUAAUGACAAAGCUAUCCAAGUAGCUCCAGCACAGGAACACAAAGGCAAGGCAAGUGUGUAUUGCCACAUCACCCCUUAAUAUAUCUGAAGCAAGUAUAAGUAAACAAUCAGAACCAGCAAAAAAAAAACUGUUGUUCCUGAGGACAAAUUUGACAGUGAUGAGUCAAAUGCACCAGCAACAGAAGGAUCAACUGUUGACUAUGAGUUAUCUCUCUAUAUCUCCACUCCAUCAAAGACUUGUGCACUUCAGACUAUAGCUCUCAAGAAGACUAAAAAGUUGAAAAAAUGAAUGUGUUAACAACUUUAUCUAAAGUGAAAAAUAAACAACGUUUAUAUAUUGGUCUUCCACAAGAAUUAUGUUUCAUAAUAGGCUUGAUUGAGAAACAUACAAAUGUUUCUGAACAAAAUAUUAUAUUAUGUCUGAUGAGAAUAACAUUAAAUAGAACAUUCUCUCAAUUGGCUGAUGAUUUCGAUUUAUCUGUAAGUCAAGCAAGCAAUAUAUAUAUAAUAUAUUUUUCAACAAACUCCCAGAAAUUGCAAAUGUAAUAUCACCCCUUGUUAGACUAUAAAAAAAACAAUACAAUAAAUAUAUAUGCAGGAAGGAUAAUUGAUGUCAACUUGGUGGAAAAUAGAAAGUUUUUAGAUAGUUUGCCACCUACAAAACUCUUUAAUUAAAUAACAAAGUAAUCCUUACUUAUAAAUAGGAAGUUUUGUAAGUAUUUUCACUCUUCAUUCAAAAACUACUGAACAGAUUUUAAUAAGACUUUUAUGCUGGUCUUCUAUGGCUAGCAACUCAUUAUUAUUUUGAUUCUGUUUUCCACAAAUGUGCUAAAUAUGGGCUUAUAUAUAUGAAAAGGAAUAAAUAUUAAUGUUAUGUAACCUUUGUACCUGUAUGUUAAGAAUAAUUUUUAAUAAAACUUAAUUUAAAUUGAAA